rnacentral:lncRNA from 1 species
AUCUCUACAAAAACAAAAAAUUAGCCAGGCACAGUGGUGUGCACCUGUGAUUCCAGCUCUAUGGAGGCUGAGGCAGGAGGAUUGACCUUGGGAGUUCGAGGCUGCAGUGAGCUGUGAUCACACCACUGCACUCCAGCCUGGGUGAUGGAGUAAGACCCUGUUUCAAAAAAAAAAAAGAAAAAAGGCCAUGAUGUUGGGCGUGUCCUCUGCAGGGAGGUUACUGCCCAGUGUGUUCUCGGUUUGAUUUCUAGUUUCAUUGCAUUGUGAUCAGAAAUCAUACUCUUUAUUAUCUUAAUCAUUUUAAAUUUAUUGAAUUUUAAAUUUAAAUUUAAAUCCUUUAAAAAAUUUUUAAUCAAUAAAUUUAGAAUUACUGAAUACACUAUGGCCUAACAUUUAGACAGAGGCCUUUUACAUCUCUUAUCACCCAAAGUACGUGGCUCAGCACCAUGCUUAUAGGACACUCUCAAUACAUUUUUUGACAGUGAUGGCAAAAGAUUGGAUUUCCACACCCAGGUCUUUCCCUGGUUUGUUCAGAGCCUGGAGUCUUUAUUUACCCGAUUAUGCUUCCUGGGCUCCUCACUCCCAGGAGAAAGAAGGAGGGCCAGGAUAGACAUGCCCAGCGUUCCUCCCAGAUGCACCAGGUCAGGCCCCCACCUCCCUGGGGUAGAGGGAGGCCUGAGUUACAGUGGGAGCCUCCUUCAGGGGAGGGCCAUCCCCUCAGGAAAGAGAAACCUAAGAUGUGGUUAGUGGUGAAUUAGGAGGUGGGUGGAGGACGUGUGUCCAAAAGCCCUCAGGCCAGAUAGCAAGUCCCGUGCUGGAGAGAGUGAGAGGGGUCCCCACGGUUGGGCCCAGAAAACGGGGUACAGUACAAGAGGGAACACAACAGCCAGGGGAGGGCCAUGCAGGGGACUCUGCUCUGAUUUGGCCUCUGGGCGUGUUUCACAAGGAAACUCAUCACGUUUUUAAACAACUUCUGUGGAAGACGUGGAGGAGGGCUGUGGGUAGGCCAUCUCCAUAGACAGAUUGGGGAAUUUUGUAAGGGUCAGCGAGACAGGAUGGCACCCUCGCUGCUCCAGGAUCUAGUGGCGGCUUGAGAAGGAGGUCGAGGGGACGGACAGCUAGGUGCUGAGCCACAGAGAAGGGGAGUGACUCAGGGAGGAGCAGGGACAGACCUCAGGCAGCAGGAAGCUCUGGAGUGAUUUGGGACGGCAGCUCUGAGAUGCCUGGGAGCUCCAGCAGGAACCCAGUGGGGACAUCCAUGCUUUGAGACAGCAACUCUGUGCUUCCUUCAGCUGCACCAGAAACUGAUUCUAAAAUGUUGAGAUUUUCCCUUCUGAAGCCCAAUUUUUAUUAUUCUUAUUUUAUUUUUAUUUUUUUGAGACAGUCUCGCUCUGUCACCCAGGCUGGAGUGCAAUGGUGCUAUCUCAGCUCACUGCAACCUGCGCCUCCCAGUUCAAGUGAUUCUUUGAUUCUUCUGCCUCAGCCUCCUAAGUAGCUGGGUGCUCUGGGACAUGGCCGAGAGUUCAGAUUCACCACUAUAAAUAGUAACACUGAAAAACUCCAUCUGAACCUUAGAACCCACCUUUGAGCCAGGUUUCAGCCAAUUUAUCUCAUUCUGCAAUUUCACCGUGAGUCACACUGCAUAUUCCACGGAUAAAUCUCAGAGUGUAAACAUCUGCUUUGGCAUCCUUGGACAGAAUGCAGACGCAGGCACACCAAAGCUCGGGUCUCAUCCUACGCCGGAAAAGAUGGGGAAAGAAUACAAAGUGGCAUAUGUGGUAUUUAGUUUGGGGUCAAGGACAGUUGCUAAGUGAAUCAACAUCACACACAAAACACAGCCCACCCACAUCCCAGUGGCAACCCGGGCCUCCCCAUGCUGCUGUCCCUGCCCAGGCUAAUCACAGCAAAGGGUUGGCGUAUCCCAGUGGCAACCCGGCCCCCCCCCCCCGCCCGCCCCACUGCCGCCGUCCUUGCCCGGGCUGAUCACGACAAGGGUUGGCAUAUCCCAGUGGCAACCCGGGCCCCUCCACUGCCACCGUCCCUGCCCAGGCUAAUCACAACAAGGGCUGGCGUAUCCCAGUGGCAACCUGACCCCCCCCAACUACCGCCAUCCCUGCCUGGGCUAAUCACGACAAGGGUUGGCAUAUCCCAGUGGCAAUCCGGGCCCCCCCCACUGCCACCGUCCCUGCCUGGGCUAAUCACAGCAAAGGGUUGAUGUCACUGGAAUGCACUCUUAUGUUCAUGCUGAUUUAUCUAUCCAAGUGGUCGGCCAUUGUUAUCAUCGGGUUCCUUUCUUGGUUGGUUAAAUCUAGAGUGGCCAGAGGGGCUUAGUUUUUAAUUGCCCUCACUGAUGUACUUUGGAGCACACCUUCUGUGACCUCCAUGUCAGCCUGGCAAUCAGAAAUGCUUUUUGUCCCUGAACAGCGACAGGUGCACUGUGUAUGGGAGAAAAAUGACUAGAAUGUGGCAUGUUCCUCCAAAGCCAACCCUGACUGGCGGCAUGCGGCAUGGCGCUGCAAGGUGCUACGUCACUCUUGCUCAACUGCCUUUUGUACCUUUCAGGUGGACAUGGACUCCAUGGAAGCCUGAGCCACCAGGGGCUUCCCUGGGGCAGCACUGCUUCGCGUAGGCUCACGAGAAACUCCCAGGGUUCCUGGGUAAGGAAGACACAGCAAGAGCUGGCCUCUGCCGCAUCUGCCUUUGUCACCAGAAGCCCAUCUUUAGGGCACCUCUCUCUCCGCUGCUUGAGUUUUAGGGUCUUGCCAUAAAACUUCAUUAAGGCCCCCCAGGCGAGGCUCAAAGCACCCUGCCCCGCGUAGGAAAAGGUUCAGAGCACAUAGAGAAAAGAGCAAGGUUGCACCCCAAAAGAAUGACAGGCGGGGAGACAAAUGCUGGCUCAGCCAGCCUGACUCCAUUCCCUGGGUGGCCGAGAGGGAUGUACGAUGGGUCUUGUGAGGGUGGAAGGUGCCUGCCUCGCCCGAGGGACGCUGUGCCCAUGCCCCUGCUGCCAGUUCACCCAAAGCAGUUGACGUUUUUAAACGAGCGCGAAGUCUCUGCUCUUCAGAGUGUGACGGGCUGCCCCUGUCUGCAGAAGCUGUCCCCGAAUAGGCUUUCUCUGAGCUUGUUACCGUGGAGGGCUGGGCCCGGUUUCUAAUCGCCCCCUUCACCGGGCUGCCUGCCGCUGGCUGCGGAAAGUGUGGGUUUGGCUGCAUGAUGGCCUCGUAAUGGCUGUGGUGACGCCCUCUGCGUCUUCUCCCAGCGCCAGCCUUUCAACAGAGCAGCACAUUAUGCCUGGAUAAGACUCAAAGAGCAGCUUAAUAUCAGGUUCUCUGGGGCUGUAAUCAUCAGUUCAGGAUGGAGCAGACACAGCCGCAGCAAGGCCUCUGUGCAGCCCCUGGCUUAAAACACAUCAACGCAUCCGUGGGCACUUUUGUGAGUUAAAGCUCAACUUACACAUCUGCCUGUAUCCAUAGGAAAUGAAUGAAAAUAAACAAACAAAUUCCUUGCAUUCAACGCAGCGUAAGAAAAAUCACAUCCUGUUCCCCAGUAGCUGAGGAAAGCCGGCUCACGAGAGCAUACAGGGAGAAGAGGCCAGCAUUGUGUGGCUGCCAGCAAAGCUCACUUGUAUGUCAAAUGCAGCGCUUUUCUUAGCCCAUUAUGUAAUGUUUUUUUUUUCUCGAACACUCCUGUGUCUACGGGGAUCUCCUGUUUUUAUUGUUUUGGGAUGAGAUUUAAAAAACACCAUUUAAUGUGGCCUGUGUGCUCUUGUUCAUUAAACCAAAAAGAAGCCCUGGAUCACGGCACAGGAGACGCUCCUCCCCGUUCUCUAGAGAUGCGCCCUCAUGGGGAAACCCUCUUUUCUCAUUAUUUUUGAUGGUGUUCUCUAACAAGACGAUCUGGAGGAAAGUCCGUGUUCACAGGACACAUUCCUGCAACGUGGCUUGGAGGGCCCACACCAGGGUUUGGCUCAUCCAUGUCGCAAACUAGAGGGGAGGAGGGUGCUGGCUAUUUCCCAUCUGCAGUCUCAGUUUCCCCACCAGAGGAUUGGAGGGAAUACUUGGGUGGGCUGUGAUACAUUCCCAGCACGAACCCCCCAGCGUUGGCAUUGGAGUCGGAGGUUUGGGCAUAGUCGCCAACAUCGCACUUACUUCCAUGCCAGCACCAAGUCUGCGGCUCCCCAGGCCACUCUCACUUCUGACCACAAGUUCAAGGCUCCCACAGCCUCUCUGGGGUCCGUAGUUCACUAGAACGACUCGCAGAACUCAGAAAAGCUCUGUCCUCACCACUGCAGCUCUACCACCGAGGCCACGCUGAGGACUCGCCAGCGGAGACGCAUCCAGGGCCGGUCGAGACUGGGAGGGUCCCAACAUGGGGUUCCCGGGCCCUCUCCCUGUGGAAGGGGGCAGGGGGCACUUCCCCUCCCGCACGUCUGCGAGUUCUCACCGGGGCCUCCUUCUGUAGGGAUCACUGCCCAGGUGAUGAGCGCCUUCUCAAGCGUCCUCCCUUUUGGGAGGUCAAAGGUCGGCUAUACCAUGCGGCCCCACCCUGUAAUUGCAUAGUUGGCCUUUCUGGUGUGGCCAGCCCCAUGCAGACCCUAAGAUGCCUAGGGACCUCCUUGAGUAACAAAUUCCCAUCACUCGGGAAAUUCCGCAGGCUUAGAUGUUACCUCCUAGGAACCCAGGACAAAGACCAGGCACAUUUCUUACUAUGCAACAAUAAUGGUAAGCUAUGGCAGGAGUGUCAUGAGGAUGAAGUGGGAAGAUGCAGGUCAAGCAUGAGUGGCGGGGCCUGUGAUCCAUGCUUUGUGUACUGAGUGAGUGCUUAAUAAACGUUAGCUAGUGUCGUCAGCACCAUCGCUACAUCAUCACGCUCCUGAGUCCAAACCCAAGCCAGUCCAAGCCCAACAACACCUUCAGUUAAGGUUCCAGCAAACUUACACGACAGGGUCCAUUUGAUAAAUUCUCUAUAAACCUAUCCAUAAAUUAUCAUUUCUGUAUGAGCUAAGACAUAGGCAAACAAUUUUUGUCAAUGUUUAAAAUUUUCACUGCUUCUCAGAAAAAUAGUAGGUCAGAAUCUUAAACUGUAUUUUACUUAAUCACACACAAAUAAUGUGGUAUUCUGGUGUAUUUUAUGGAAGAUUGAUUAGCACUAAAGACUCACAGGCAAACGAAUAAAUGCAAAUCAUUUUUACACUCAUCUGUAAUUUUAUCCUGCCAGUGCUACUUUGAAAUUAGCAUUCUUGUCCACAGUUUCUAAGUAAUGAUUCUGAUGAGCCUCAGAGAGGGGAUGUGACUACCCAAGUUCAUAAAGCUGGUCAGCGAUGAAACAUUUCAGCAAAACCACAGAGUUAUUGAAUAGGAAGAAGUAUACGUGGUGGCCUCUGGUUCGAGGUAUCCAGCGCUGUCCUCGGGUGGGGGAGAAUCAGUGUCACCUCCCAUCCAGCACGAGGCUUGCCCUGCUCCAGAGCGGGGUGUGGGGGUGCGUGUUCUGUUGCUCCAGCACUUACACGGGUAAGGCGAGGUACCAAGACUCAUUUCAGGUACCAAAGCAGAUCAGGGGACAGACUGAAAUUCUGUAGAAAUUUCACAUUAGGUGGUCAAGAACUAGUGAAAUGAUUCACUUGCAUUAAGGCUAUACAGUUUCACUAGGUGGUGUGCUUGAUAAAUAUCUUGCAACCGGCUCUCCAGAAAGCAGAAAGAGAGCUUCCUUACAGUGUGCCAGUGCCCAUGGUGUAAAUGCACUUACCGUGGCAGAUUCCAGAAAGCAGAAGGAGCUGACUCACAGCAUGACAAUGCCCAUGGUGUAAAUGCCCUUACCAUGGCAGAUUCCAGAAAGCAGAGCUGACUCACAGCAUGCCAAUGUCCAUGGUGCAAAUACCCU